rnacentral:misc_RNA from 1 species
UUGCAUAUCCCAAAAGCGGAGGAAAAGAAACCAACAGGGAUUGCCCUAGUAACGGCGAGUGAAGCGGCAACAGCUCAAAUUUGAAAGCUGGCUCCGGCCCGCAUUGUAAUUUGCAGAGGAUGCUUUUGGCGAGGUGCCUUCCGAGUUCCCUGGAACGGGACGCCAUAGAGGGUGAGAGCCCCGUAUGGAUGGACACCAAACCUGUGUAAAGCUCCUUCAACGAGUCGAGUAGUUUGGGAAUGCUGCUCUAAAUGGGAGGUAAAUCUCUUCUAAAGCUAAAUACCGGCCAGAGACCGAUAGCGCACAAGUAGAGUGAUCGAAAGAUGAAAAGCACCUUGAAAAGGGGGUUAAACAGUACGUGAAAUUGUUGAAAGGGAAGCAUUUAUGACCAGACUUGCGCCGGGCAGCUCAUCAGGGGUUCUCCCCUGUGCACUCUGCCCGGCUCAGGCCAGCAUCGGUUCUCGUGGGAGGAUAAGAACAGUGGGAACGUGGCCCCCUCUCGGGGGGGUGUUAUAGCCCAUUGUACGAUACUCUCGUGGGGACCGAGGUUCGCGCUCCGCAAGGAUGCUGGCGUAAUGGUCAUCAAUGACCCGUCUUGGCCACACACGGACCCAAA